rnacentral:rRNA from 1 species
UACGAAAGGGGGCUAGCGUUGCUCGGAAUCACUGGGCGUAAAGGGUGCGUAGGCGGGUCUUUAAGUCAGGGGUGAAAUCCUGGAGCUCAACUCCAGAACUGCCUUUGAUACUGAGGAUCUUGAGUUUCGGGAGAGGUGAGUGGAACUGCGAGUGUAGAGGUGAAAUUCGUAGAUAUUCGCAAGAACACCAGUGGCGAAGGCGGCUCACUGGCCCGAUACUGACGCUGAGGCACGAAAGCGUGGGGAGCAAACAGGG